UGUACUGAACCUCUCUAAACAGGACUGUCAACUGUACUAUGGUCUCUAAAGCUGUAGCCUCCAGACACAGGUGUGUUAACCUUACAGUAACCAUAACAGUUCUGUGUUUGAGGCUGAUGAACACAGAUGACUGUCUCGUAGUGGUUACCAUAAACAUGAUGCAAAUACACACCUUCAUGUGACAACCUACUACCCUGACAACUGUAUUCAAGCCAGCGAUCAUUGUAAUAGGUGAACACACUAACACCGAAACAAUCAGCUGCUGCUUGAAUCGCCAACUCAGUGGCCCAAGUACCAACAUAACACAUCCUUGACACCGUGAUGUAUUCUGAUAUAGAG